ACAUGAACAACGCAAAAUCAACAUUCUUCAAAAAGCGUUCCUGCGAGGAUAUCUUUCCCUACUGGGUCUGUAUAGCCGAUGAAGUACGGAAAUCGUCAUACAGAAUGGAGAGAAACUGCCUCUGGCAGAGUAUCGAUCUUGGGUGCAGUGUCUGACUUGAACUUAGGUUCGGUGGAAGGGACUGCAAUGAUUGAUUCUACAA
rnacentral:sRNA from 11 species